CAAAGUAUUAAUAAUUGACAACUUUGGGAAAAAGCGGUGGUGUUACAGUACUUGCGGAGAAAUCAUUACCAGGGACAGCGCCUAUUUAGCUAGUGGAGUGACGUGCUAGGACGAUUUUUUGGUAGCUGUCUAGUUCCCAUUUCUGCCAGAGCUUUUUGUUUUUCUUCAUCCGCCACUGAAACAAAAUGUCUCAACGGUUCAUAACUGAUUUUAUAAGGGUAAUUGAUUGCCUGGUUAUUUGAUUAAUUAUUUAAUGUCAUAUGAAUUCUAAUGUAGCGAAAGGCCAUUCCAUUCCAACCAUUAUGACUUAGUUACUUCAGAACAUUGGUAGGUCCGCGAUAGCAACGGAAGUCGACAACUCAGACAACUCAAAAUGAGCCGCUAUGACCAGUAACCUGUAAACGGAUCCUACUCUCCUAGAUCGACAGACAAAUUUACAAUUUGCAAAUUCAAGUCCGCCACACACGGCCAUGUCUAAACACGUCAAGCCUCUCAUCCCAAACGGCCUGAUAACCAUUCUGUCAGGCUUCAGUCGAGCCUACCUAAGGAAGAGGCCAACUGACCUAGGGCUAUUUGCCAUGUACUACUGUAUGGAACUGCGGAAAUACAGAGAUGAAAUAGCAACCUAUUCACCAAACAAGCUGGUGAAAGAUUUUCAUAAACAUAGAGGUAAGUCCAGAGAUGAUGCACCCUGUAUUUCUAUAGUCGUUAAUGCAAACAAAACAUAUACUUUUGCAGUCACAUUCCCAAACAUUUCUCCCCCCCCCCCAGCCGAGAGACUCUGUGACAAUGCCUAUGAAGAGGAACUGUUGAAGUAUGGAUACAAAGUGACCUCUAAGGAGGAUGUGACGUUUAAUGCCCUGGAGAUCACCUCUCAGGACCUGCAAAUACUAGGCAGUAGUGAGAGACAGAUCAACAGACGGUACUCAACCACCACUAGCCCAUGUGGAGAACAAGUGAACAAUAUUACAGCUCCAUCCGCCAUGGACCUGCAGGUGAACCAAACCCUGGGGUCUGCAGCUAUGGAGCUAGGGGCACUGGUUGGCAACAUUGUACCCACAACAUCAUCAAGCCCUUUUCAACCAACCAACAAUAACGCCAACACCCAACACGUGGCACAUGCAUCCUCCCAGGCAGUAGCAGGUCUGGCAUCCACUGAGAACAAGACUGGUGAAGUUGCUUCACCAGUCCAACCUGGCUCAGCAGAGAUAUUGGCCAGCAGCAGCUGCGAGGCCAGUAUUUCUGGACAGGCCUGUGUUCCCCAGCAUUACACACCCACCAGCCAGGAGGGGGGGUAUGCCUGUGCCGUCAUGCCCACAGAGAUACCCUGCUACCCCAGAUUUCCCCAGAAUUACCCGACAUACCCUCCACCACCACCCUACCUCCCAGGCUUUCAUCCUUAUUAUUUGGACCUCAUGUCUGGCCAAUAUGUCCAGCCGUCCUGCAGAUGCCAGCGAUAUGGCAGAGUGGUAUAUCGUCCCCCUGGUCAGCCAGUGCUGCCCCAGUGCCACCAUGCCGCUCCACUGCCAGUGCCGCAGUGCACUCACCAGCACCUCAGCCCUUCUGCAAGCUGCAUUCAAGUGGCUCCAACCAUGGGGCCCUAUGGAUUGCAGAGCACUUUCUCACGGUGCAUCCCUGUGCCUGUCCUCGCCAACCACUUUGGCUCUCUUUACUACAGGCCCAAGCAGAGACCCAGGAUGGCCACAGGUGUGCCUGGCUGCAGGAGCGAGUGCCUACCCACAUCCAGACGGCUCAACUGCACUUCCUGCAACGUGAGUGACAGCUCUAGCUAUGGGCCAGAGCCCGCCGCCCAGGCCUCCUAUCAUGGAGGACAUCGAGGACAGUGUGGGGGUGAUGCCAUCCAUGGACCAGUCCCUGCCGGUGUACUAAGGUCCCUGUAUGCCCCUGUGCCGUGCCCCAUUGGACUGCAGAGAAGGGAUGCCCCGGCUCAGCGACCAUGCAGCGCCCCGACUAGGAGGGUUGUUCCAUUGACCACGCAGAACCAGAAUAGCCCGUUCCCAUCCUCAUAAGGGACAGGUUUGGAACAAGUUAUUCUGUGAAUGGAUAGCUGCAAAUGAUUUGAUUGAAUUUAAUCUUAUUAAGUCUUCAGUUUGAUACAAUUUUGCCUUGAAGCUUUUGUUAAUUGGUAGUAUAAUUAAACUAGUGGAAAGUUUUCGUCAUGGAUAUAUGAAUUUGUAGACACAGAAUAUUGUUAAUCAGAAUAAAGAUUUCUCAGGUGGCUAAAUUGCUGUUAUUUUUCUCUUUACAGAAUGCCCAGACAGACUGAACGCAAAGUCCUACAACUUUAUCAUCGAUUUUUAUGAUCAAUAAAGUAUUUUGCAGAUUCGUUUUUAAUUAUCAUUAUUGUAAGAUUCAAAAGGCACUCGCACAUCUGAGCAAUCUUGUUGCAGGUGCAUGGCAACAGUUGAAACAGGAUGAAGGAAAAAAGGAAACCGCACACUGCUCUUGAUAGUAUCACUGAUAUUUAAUAUGCCGAUACGUAAGCUUAUUAAAUAUCAGUG
rnacentral:lncRNA from 1 species